rnacentral:rRNA from 1 species
UGGGGAAUAUUGGACAAUGGGCGCAAGCCUGAUCCAGCCAUACCGCGUGGGUGAAGAAGGCCUUCGGGUUGUAAAGCCCUUUUGUUGGGAAAGAAAUCCUAUCGGUUAAUAACCGGUGGGGAUGACGGUACCCAAAGAAUAAGCACCGGCUAACUUCGUGCCAGCAGCCGCGGUAAUACGAAGGGUGCAAGCGUUACUCGGAAUUACUGGGCGUAAAGCGUGCGUAGGUGGUGGUUUAAGUCUGCUGUGAAAGCCCUGGGCUCAACCGGGGAAUUGCAGUGGAUACUGGAUCACUAGAGUGUGGUAGAGGGAUGCGGAAUUUCUGGUGUAGCAGUGAAAUGCGUAGAGAUCAGAAGGAACAUCCGUGGCGAAGGCGGCAUCCUGGGCCAACACUGACACUGAGGCACGAAAGCGUGGGGAGCAAACA